UACAGAGGGUGCAAGCGUUAAUCGGAAUUACUGGGCGUAAAGCGCGCGUAGGUGGUUUGUUAAGUUGGAUGUGAAAUCCCCGGGCUCAACCUGGGAACUGCAUCCAAAACUGGCAAGCUAGAGUAGGGCAGAGGGUGGUGGAAUUUCCUGUGUAGCGGUGAAAUGCGUAGAUAUAGGAAGGAACACCAGUGGCGAAGGCGACCACCUGGGCUCAUACUGACACUGAGGUGCGAAAGCGUGGGGAGCAAACAGG
rnacentral:rRNA from 1 species